GGGGGCGAAACGGAUUCGACGGGGAUAUAUAAGCUCAGGCUGCAUACCGAGGUCUCUGAUUGCUCGUUAAACGUCAGUACUUAAAUAUAGUCGCAGAUGACUAUGCAUAUGCUGUAGCAGCAUAAAUAAGCUACUGUCCUACCCGGUUGCUCCUGCGAAACCGGGAUUGGGCAUCGACUCAGCGGGAUAGCUUCCAUCUUUCACCUGUGGGAAUGGCGGCGAAAUAAAACAGAGGGUAGCGUCGAAAGUUUCUUGUCCUGGAGGAAGCAAGGCGCGAUAAACAACUAAACAGGACUAUGUAUGUAGACGCUUGAAGGGGAGUAUUUUCGGACGCGGGUUCGACUCCCGCCGCCUCCACCA
rnacentral:tmRNA from 1 species